GACGAACGCUGGCGGCGUGCUUAAUACAUGCACGUAGAACGCAGUUGCGAACGGGUGAGUAACGCGUAGGUAACUGCCUCAUAGCGGGGGAUAACUAUUGGAAACGUUAGCUAAUACCGCAUAUUGUGACAUGGCCUUUCGUUGUAUUAGCUAGUUGGUGAGGUAAAGGCUAACCAAGGCGGCGAAACAUAGCAGACCUGUGAGGGUGAUCGGCCACACUGGGACUGAGAAACGGCCCAGACUCAGACGGAAGGCAGCAGUAGUGAGUCUGCGGCAAUGGACGGAAGUCUGACCAAGAAACGCCGAGUGAGUGAGGAGGGUUUUCGUAUCGUAAAGCUAUGUUGUUAGAGAAGCGGUAACUAACCAGAAAGGGACGGCUAACUACGUGCCAGCAGCCGCGGUAAUUC
rnacentral:rRNA from 1 species